AAUCAACGCUGGCGGCGUGCCUAACACAUGCAAGUCGAACGCGAAAGCCCCUUCGGGGGUAAGUAGAGUGGCGUCCGGGUGAGUAACGCGUAGGUAAUCUGCCUUCGGGUGGGGAAUAACCAGUCGAAAGAUUGGCUAAUACCGCAUAAUGCAGCGGCACCUAAUGGUGAUUAGUUGUUAAAGCGGGGGAUCGUAAGACCUCGCGCCUGAAGAGGAGCCUGCGGCAGAUUAGCAGUUGGUGAGGUAAUGGCUCACCAAGGCUUCGAUCUGUAGCUGGUCUGAGAGGACGGCCAGCCACACUGGCACUGACACACGGGCCAGACUCCUACGGGAGCAGCAGUGGGAAUUUUGGGCAAUGGGCGAAAGCCUGACCCAGCAACGCCGCGU
rnacentral:rRNA from 1 species